UACAGAGACUGCAAGCGUUAUUCGGAAUCACUGGGCUUAAAGCGUCCGUAGGCGGCUCGGAAAGUAGGGUGUGAAAUCCCACGGCUCAACCGUGGAAUUGCGCUCUAAACUAUCGAGCUAGAGGGAGAUAGAGGUGAGCGGAACUGAUGGUGGAGCGGUGAAAUGCGUUGAUAUCAUCAGGAACACCGGAGGCGAAGGCGGCUCACUGGGUCUUUUCUGACGCUGAGGGACGAAAGCUAGGGGAGCGAACGGG
rnacentral:rRNA from 1 species